rnacentral:rRNA from 1 species
CUACGGGCGGCUCCAGUGAGGAAUAUUGCACAAUGGGGGGAACCCUGAUGCAGCAACGCCGCGUGGAGGAUGACGCAUUUCGGUGUGUAAACUCCUUUUAUAUGUCAAGAAAAUGACGGUAGCAUAUGAAUAAGCACCGGCGUAACUCCGUGCCAGCAGCCGCGGUAAUACGGAGGGUGCAAGCGUUACUCGGAAUCACUGGGCGUAAAGGGCGCGUAGGCGGGUUGGAAAGUCAGGUGUGAAAUCCUACAGCUUAACUGUAGAACUGCACUUGAAACUUCUAAUCUAGAGUAUGGGAGGGGGAGAUGGAAUUAGUGGUGUAGGGGUAAAAUCCGUAGAUAUCACUAGGAAUACCUAAAGCGAAGGCGAUCUCCUGGAACAUUACUGACGCUAAGGCGUGAAAGCGUGGGGAGCAAACAGGAUUAGAUACCCUCGUAGUC